GGUCCAGCCAGGCCCAGAAGGAGCUGCCCUGAUGACCAUCUGAGCGCCCCUGUGCUCUUUUUCCGCCUGUUCUCCCUCGGGUCUCCCUGGCACCAGGGAGGGGGAAUCAGUUUGUCCCUACAGGCACCAAGGAGGAAAGUCCAGUCUUUAAGAGUCCAGUGGGAGCCCCUUUUCUGAAGCCACUUCCAGGCCAAGGCAGUCCCCAAGGCUUCUUGUCCCUACCUUCUGAAUCUUCAAACAGUGGUACCGGUUCCGCUCAGCCUGCCUGCCUGCCCAGCGAGGCCUCCAGGUUCAAGGUGUUGGUGGGUGGGGGACAGGAUCCUCCCCCGCCAUCAACACCAACACACACACACCUCUAAGCUGCUGGCGGAGGAUGUCACCAAGGCCAGAGCCACAGUAUUACGAAGCUUUGAAAGUCCCUCUCCUCACUUCCCACCAUGACCUUGGGCAAACCCUGGCUCGGAGCCCGGGGCAGGGGGAGCCCAGGCUGGAGGCUCUAGGCAGGUUUGACAGAUGUCAGUAAUACGGCGUCCCCUGGGGCUGACCAGAUCUUCGAAAUCAUCUGUAUCCACCUGCAAAUGCAUCUGAGCGGGCCCUUAUGUACACACCGCAUUCAUACACACACACACACACACACACACACUCAGAGGGACCUCGGGUGCGUACCAUCAUGUGGGUGGCGCCGUGAACCACGCUCAGGCCACACAAGAGACACAUACUGGCUUCUGGGACUGAGACCCAGGCCUGGCAGGACGGUACCCACACACACUACAGACAUUCCUACCGCUGAGAGGUGCGCACAUACCAGGUACACGCAGCCGGGCGUUUGGGGGUGUGUGUGCCACACGGAACAGCCCUUCCUGGUCUCACCAGUCACCUGCACAGCACGCCUCCAGCCCCAUCUCCUCGCGGGGGCUGGGGGAAAGACAAAUCUAACUGUCCCGUGCCCCCUGACCCCCAGCCCAUCUUCCCCUCAAGCCUGCUAAGUUAUCCCAGGCCUGUGCGUGCUGGAAGAAGCCAGCCUCGGCCCUGCAGCCGCCACCUCUCCGCUGGGGACGGACGGGUUGCUUACAGCUUUGCCCCCCACCACCCGGCAUCAGCACAGGGGGUCCUCCUCACGCUCCGGCAGCUCAGGGAGUUUUCUUGUGAGGCCUCCUCCACCAGGGGACCAGAGGGAGAAGCCCAGUGCCCCAUUCCGGCUUGCCCUUAACGCACAGGAUGCGUGUGCAAUUCAUAGGAACGGCCCAGGUCGCCCUCGUGAGCUCCGCCCGGCACAGGUAGCUGGCGCUCACGCUCCUGCCCACGUGCAGCCCAAGUGGGAGUCAGAGUCAGUCCUCCGGGCCCCCCGCCAGUCCCCGUCGGCUUUCGGUAGCUCGCAUGCAGUCCUAUUAACAGCUGUCUAGAAGCCAUGCUUUGGUGACCUAACCCAGGGUCAGAUACAGCUCUUUCCAGCCAAGUCAGGCAGCUCUGCCCCACCCGAAGGGGCACCGAUUAGUGUACUAACAGCCAGAGAUCCACCCCGCAGGGCACCGGGAGGAGGUGGUGGGUUUCCCUGGGAGUCUCUUCCUCCAUGGGCCGCUGCAGCCACCCGGUGUGGCUGCCCGGAGGCGGGGCUCAGCCACUGACCCAUGUCCCUUCCCCAGGUCCGUCCCACGCCCCUCCCCUCCCCACAGUGGAAUUGUUGAAGUGUGGCGAGUCUGUGCUCGGGACAAUAAAGCUUGUGACAGGUCCAGG